AAGGGAAAAAAGGCAGAGAGAAAAAGAAAAGAGAACAAGAGGGGGGAAAAGAAGUAAUAUUUUCCUUGAUAAAAAUGCACAAAAGGGAAGAUGAACUUUGUUCUUUUUCUCUUUCUACUCUCCUCUCUCUUUCUGCUUUUCGCCUCGCAGCACGCCAGCCUAAGCUGAGAGCUGUAAUGUCAUUAAAUUGCAAAUGCUUUUUCAUUUCCGACACACACUGUUUACUUAUCUGGCAAAAACAUAUGUUGGAAGGAAUCCGUUAAAUUCUGCCCAUUGCCUUGGGUAAAAGUGCAAUGGAAACGGACCCAGUGAGCGUCUUCUUUCUUCUUCUUUUAGCACUUCCCUUAUCUACAAGACUGCUUCGCAGCAAACUGGCUAGUUCAAUGAAAAAUGAAGAUACAGCAGGAGAUUAGAGAAGAACAGUGAGCAAAAAAUUCCUGGAGAGAGGGUCACUUCAUUGCAAAUGAUUUCACUUCUCUAGAUCUGCAUAAAUUACUAUUUUUAAGGCAUCUCCAAAGUCUGUAUAUUUUUCUCACUCUGUCAAACAUUUAAUUUCACGCCCCGUGUUCUGAAUAUGCUAAAAUGCAUAUCUCUGAUGCACCUUUAAGCCAGAAAAACGAAUGCAAAAUUGAAGAUAAAAUGAUGUGAUUUGCACUACAAGCCUAUUACUUGAGGUAUUUACAUAUAGUUUACCUCUGCAGUUCUGAGAAUGAUUUAUUAAAAAAAAAAUCGGGAUUAAGCUCAUAUAAAUAUGUAUAAAUCUUUGUUUAGAAAAUAGAUUUUGCAGCUGUUGUGUCAAGAAGUUCUUUAAGAUUCUGUGAAGAAUUUUCCUUUUAAUGUGCCUUUCUAUUUAAAAAACAACAACAAAAAGAAAGAAAAGAAUUUGACAACCUUCUUUGGCAGGAAAACACAUAUUUUUUCCUAAUGCCUUGGGGUUUCCCCCCCAAAGAUUCACUUGAAGUUUCUCCCCCCCUUUUUUUGCCUCUCCCCACCUAUUUUCCUAAUGCCACUUGGGGCCUUUCUGUCUUAUUUGUUUGGACCCUGAAAAUAACCGCUACGGUAUCUCUCGAAUUCAAAGGGAAUAUUCCGGAUUUAUAAAAGUAGAUCAAACCACUGUGGAUUUCUCUUAUUACCACUAAACUAUUGUUGUUGCAUAGGCCCCAGCUAUGGGAAAGAGAGCUCUUCAGAUUUAAAAGAUUCUUGAAACAGAAGCAUCCUUUUUAAAAAGGGAUGGGGAGGGUUGCCCACGAGUUCCCUUUUAUUUUGAAAUUGAUGCUCCUUUAAUCGCCUCAGUUUAGGUGAACAAUGCCUUCCAGAUCUGGCAUCCUUUCACCUGGUGAAACAGAAAAUAAUGACAUUAUGACGUAUUCACCCUCCUUGUAAUAAAUCACAUCCCCACCUCCUAACAGUGAGAGUCUAACUCUUCUCUCUGGCCUUUGCCUACAGAUAUCAAAGCGAUGGGAGAUGGAAAAGCAAGGCUGAGCCAAGGUGCUGCCAGUCUCCAAACUAAAACCAGGAAGAUUUUCUGGUGCUUGCUAGCUCAGCUAGCUCUGGGGAACAGGUACUGGAGGAAAAGCAGCUCUACCUACCACAUCAAACAAGCCAAUAGAUGGCCUCCUGAGACUGCCUGUUUGCAGACUUUUCCCUGAGAAUUUUUUUUUAAAGGGUUUUCACAAGGAGAAGGCAACAGUGACAUUCUGGUAUGUAGAGCUGACAACCAUCUAGAGAACCAAGAAUAGGAUGGGGAAUAUCUUGGACCUUCUUAUUUGCCCAGGCGUUUCUUGAUUGCUCAUUACGUGUAAUUGUUAGACGCAAAUUAUUGCCAGACUGAGGAUGACUCCGUUUCCCCACUCUCUUAAGCCUGGGCCUACUGAAGGCUUCGCCACUGCUACUAAUGAUUGGGCAGAACAGUAUGCCGAGUGUUAUGCAGUUCAGGCCUGACAUGCCAAAGGGAUUCGAUGAUUAAAUCAACUCACGUUGGUUGAUCUCGUUUCUAUGCAAGCCUUAAUGAGGAAAGAUAAGCAAGAAGUGGGGAUAGGCACGAACCAACUAAUACUUUCCAAAUGAGUAGCUUCCUAGAAGUCACAGAGGAUGCCUGGGCUAUGCAGGAUCUCCCCGCUGUCUCUGGAUAAGCACUCUUAAAAUGUCCAGAUACCAUAGCCACCGAACAAUACAGGUUAAGGUUAAGUACUUAAUUCGUUCCGGAGGUCUGUACUUAACCUGAAACUGUUCUUAAC